rnacentral:telomerase_RNA from 1 species
CGGGCGCGGAGAGGCGGCGGCCAUGUUUUUCCUAACCCUAUUUGAGAUGAGCGUAGGCGUAGUUGCUCCCGCCGCGCUGUUUUUCUCGCUGACUUUCAGCCGGCGGAAGAGCUUGGGUUCACCUCACCAUCCCGCCUGAGGUAAACAAACAAACAAAAAAUGUCGGUGGCUGGCCGCUCUGCCUCUCCCGGGGCCCUGCGGAGGUUGCCGGCGCGCCCAGUGCGCUCUCGCAGCCCGCCUGGAGGCCGCGGUGGGCCCGGGGCUUCUCUGGAGGCGCCCACUGCCGCCGCGAAGAGUUCGCGCUCUGUCAGCCGCGGGCACUGGGGCGCUGCGGGCGAGGUCCGGCUCGCUGGCCGCAGGGAAAGGAACGGAGCGUGGUCCCGGAGCGUGGCUUCCCUGAGCGGUGGGAAGUGCACCCGCAACCGGCUCACACACAU